GAUGAACGCUGGCGGCGUGCCUAAUACAUGCAGGUCGAGCGAACGGACGAGAAGCUUGCUUUUCUGAUGUUAGCGGCGGACGGGUGAGUAACACGUGGAUAACCUACCUAUAAGACUGGGAUAACUUCGGGAAACCGGAGCUAAUACCGGAUAAUAUUUUGAACCGCAUGGUUCAAAAGUGAAAGACGGUCUUGCUGUCACUUAUAGAUGGAUCCGCGCUGCAUUAGCUAGUUGGUAAGGUAACGGCUUACCAAGGCAACGAUGCAUAGCCGACCUGAGAGGGUGAUCGGCCACACUGGAACUGAGACACGGUCCAGACUCCUACGGGAGGCAGCAGUAGGGAAUCUUCCGCAAUGGGCGAAAGCCUGACGGAGCAACGCCGCGUGAGUGAUGAAGGUCUUCGGAUCGUAAAACUCUGUUAUUAGGGAAGAACAUAUGCGUAAGUAACUGUGCACAUCUUGACGGUACCUAAUCAGAAAGCCACGGCUAACUACGUG
rnacentral:rRNA from 1 species